AGUGAACGCUGGCGGUAGGCCUAACACAUGCAAGUCGAACGGCAGCACAGUAAGAGCUUGCUCUUACGGGUGGCGAGUGGCGGACGGGUGAGGAAUACAUCGGAAUCUACUUUUUCGUGGGGGAUAACGUAGGGAAACUUACGCUAAUACCGCAUACGACCUACGGGUGAAAGCAGGGGAUCUUCGGACCUUGCGCGAUUGAAUGAGCCGAUGUCGGAUUAGCUAGUUGGCGGGGUAAAGGCCCACCAAGGCGACGAUCCGUAGCUGGUGUGAGAGGAUGAUCAGCCACACUGGAACUGAGACGCGGUCCAGACUCCUACGGGAGGCAGCAGUGGGGAAUAUUGGACAAUGGGCGCAAGCCUGAUCCAGCCAUACCGCGUGGGUGAAGAAGGCCUUCGGGUUGUAAAGCCCUUUUGUUGGGAAAGAAAAGCAGCAGGUUAAUACCCCGCUGUUCUGACGGUACCCAAAGAAUAAGCACCGGCUAACUUCGUG
rnacentral:rRNA from 1 species